AGGUAAGCUACUAAGAGCGAAUGGUGGAUGCCUUGACUGGUAAAGGCGAUGAAGGACGUACUAGACUGCGAUAAGCUACGGGGAGCUGUCAAGAAGCUUUGAUCCGUAGAUUUCCGAAUGGGGCAACCCAAUGUAUAGAGAUAUACAUUACCUAUAUAGGAGCGAACGAGGGGAAUUGAAACAUCUUAGUACCCUCAGGAAAAGAAAUCAAUAGAGAUUGCGUCAGUAGCGGCGAGCGAAAGCGCAAGAGGGCAAACCCAGUGCUUGCACUGGGGGUUGUAGGACUGCAAUGUGCAAGAGGUAAGUUUAGCAGAACAUUCUGGAAAGUAUAGCCAUAGAGGGUGAUAGUCCCGUAUGCGAAAAACAAACCUUAGCUAGCAGUAUCCUGAGUAGGGCGGGACACGAGGAAUCCUGUCUGAAUCCGGGUCGACCACGAUCCAACCCUAAAUACUAAUACCAGAUCGAUAGUGCACAAGUACCGUGAGGGAAAGGUGAAAAGAACUGAGGUGAUCAGAGUGAAAUAGAACCUGAAACCAUUUGCUUACAAUCAUUCAGAGCCCUAUGUAGCAAUACAGGGUGAUGGACUGCCUUUUGCAUAAUGAGCCUGCGAGUUGUGGUGUCUGGCAAGGUUAAGCAAACGCGAAGCCGUAGCGAAAGCGAGUCUGAAUAGGGCGCUUAGUCAGAUGCUGCAGACCCGAAACGAAGUGAUCUAUCCAUGAGCAAGUUGAAGCUAGUGUAAGAACUAGUGGAGGACUGAACCCAUAGGCGUUGAAAAGCCCCGGGAUGACUUGUGGAUAGGGGUGAAAGGCCAAUCAAACUUCGUGAUAGCUGGUUCUCUCCGAAAUAUAUUUAGGUAUAGCGUUGUGUCGUAAUAUAAGGGGGUAGAGCACUGAAUGGGCUAGGGCAUACACCAAUGUACCAAACCCUAUCAAACUCCGAAUACCUUAUAUGUAAUCACAGCAGUCAGGCGGCGAGUGAUAAAAUCCGUCGUCAAGAGGGAAACAACCCAGACUACCAGCUAAGGUCCCUAAGUCUUACUUAAGUGGAAAACGAUGUGAAGUUACUUAAACAACCAGGAGGUUGGCUUAGAAGCAGCCAUCCUUUAAAGAAAGCGUAAUAGCUCACUGGUCUAGUGAUUUUGCGCGGAAAAUAUAACGGGGCUAAAGUAAGUACCGAAGCUGUAGACUUAGUUUACUAAGUGGUAGGAGAGCGUUCUAUUUGCGUCGAAGGUAUACCGGUAAGGAGUGCUGGAGCGAAUAGAAGUGAGCAUGCAGGCAUGAGUAGCGAUAAUUAAUGUGAGAAUCAUUAACGCCGUAAACCCAAGGUUUCCUACGCGAUGC
rnacentral:rRNA from 1 species